GAUGAACGCUGGCGGCGUGCCUAAUACAUGCAAGUCGAGCGAACGGACGAGAAGCUUGCUUCUCUGAUGUUAGCGGCGGACGGGUGAGUAACACGUGGAUAACCUACCUAUAAGACUGGGAUAACUUCGGGAAACCGGAGCUAAUACCGGAUGAUAUUUUGAACCGCAUGGUUCAAAAGUGAAAGACGGUCUUGCUGUCACUUAUAGAUGGAUCCGCGCUGCAUUAGCUAGUUGGUAAGGUAACGGCUUACCAAGGCAACGAUGCAUAGCCGAACUGAGAGGGUGGUCGGCCACACUGGAACUGAGACACGGUCCAGACUCCUACGGGAGGCAGCAGUAGGGAAUCUUCCGCAAUGGGCGAAAGCCUGACGGAGCAACGCCGCGUGAGUGAUGAAGGUCUUCGGAUCGUAAAACUCUGUUAUUAGGGAAGAACAUAUGUGUAAGUAACUGUGCACAUCGUGACGGUACCUAAUCAGAAAGCCACGGCUAACUACGUG
rnacentral:rRNA from 1 species